rnacentral:rRNA from 1 species
AUUGAACGCUGGCGGCAGGCCUAACACAUGCAAGUCGAGCGGUAGCACAGGGAGCUUGCUCCUGGGUGACGAGCGGCGGACGGGUGAGUAAUGUCUGGGAAACUGCCUGAUGGAGGGGGAUAACUACUGGAAACGGUAGCUAAUACCGCAUAACGUCGCAAGACCAAAGAGGGGGACCUUCGGGCUUCUUGCCAUCAGAUGUGCCCAGAUGGGAUUAGCUAGUAGGUGGGGUAACGGCUCACCUAGGCGACGAUCCCUAGCUGGUCUGAGAGGAUGACCAGCCACACUGGAACUGAGACACGGUCCAGACUCCUACGGGAGGCAGCAGUGGGGAAUAUUGCACAAUGGGCGCAAGCCUGAUGCAGCCAUGCCGCGUGUAUGAAGAAGGCCUUCGGGUUGUAAAGUACUUUCAGCGGGGAGGAAGGUGUUGAGGUUAAUAACCUCAGCAAUUGACGUUACCCGCAGAAGAAGCACCGGCUAACUCCGUGCCAGCCGCCGCUGUAA